rnacentral:rRNA from 1 species
AGGGUUCGAUCAUGGCUCAGGAUGAACGCUGGCGGCGUGCUUAACACAUGCAAGUCGAACGAACCUUCGGGUUAGUGGCGGACGGGUGAGUAACGCGUGAGAAUCUGCCCUCAGGAGGGGGACAACAGCUGGAAACGGCUGCUAAUACCCCAUAUGCCGCGAGGUGAAAUGAAUUUCGCCUGAGGAUGAGCUCGCGUCUGAUUAGCUAGUUGGUGUAGGUAAUGGCUCACCAAGGCAUCGAUCAGUAGCUGGUCUGAGAGGAUGAUCAGCCACACUGGGACUGAGACACGGCCCAGACUCCUACGGGAGGCAGCAGUGGGGAAUUUUCCGCAAUGGGCGAAAGCCUGACGGAGCAACGCCGCGUGAGGGAUGAAGGCCUCUGGGCUGUAAACCUCUUUUAUCAAGGAAGAAGAUCUGACGGUACUUGAUGAAUAAGCCACGGCUAAUUCCGUGCCAGCAGCCGCGGUAAUACGGGAGUGGCAAGCGUUAUCCGGAAUUAUUGGGCGUAAAGCGUCCGCAGGCGGCCCUUCAAGUCUGCUGUUAAAAAGUGGAGCUUAACUCCAUCAUGGCAGUGGAAACUGUUGGGCUUGAGUGUGGUAGGGGCAGAGGGAAUUCCCGGUGUAGCGGUGAAUGCGUAGAUAUCGGGAAGAACACCAGUGGCGAAGGCGCUCUGCUGGGCCAUCACUGACGCUCAUGGACGAAAGCCAGGGGAGCGAAAGGGAUUAGAUACCCCUGUAGUCCUGGCCGUAACGAUGAACACUAGGUGUCGGGGGAAUCGACCCCCUCGGUGUCGUAGCCAACGCGUUAAGUGUUCCGCCUGGGGAGUACGCACGCAAGUGUGAAACUCAAAGGAAUUGACGGGGGCCCGCACAAGCGGUGGAGUAUGUGGUUUAAUUCGAUGCAACGCGAAGAACCUUACCAGGGUUUGACAUCCUGCGAAUCUCUUGGAAACAGGAGAGUGCCUUCGGGAACGCAGUGACAGGUGGUGCAUGGCUGUCGUCAGCUCGUGUCGUGAGAUGUUGGGUUAAGUCCCGCAACGAGCGCAACCCACGUCUUUAGUUGCCAGCAUUUAGUUGGGCACUCUAGAGAGACUGCCGGUGAUAAACCGGAGGAAGGUGUGGAUGACGUCAAGUCAUCAUGCCCCUUACAUCCUGGGCUACACACGUACUACAAUGCUACGGACAAAGGGCAGCAAGUUCGCGAGGACAAGCAAAUCCCAUAAACCGUGGCUCAGUUCAGAUCGUAGGCUGCAACUCGCCUACGUGAAGGCGGAAUCGCUAGUAAUCGCAGGUCAGCAUACUGCGGUGAAUACGUUCCCGGGCCUUGUACACACCGCCCGUCACACCAUGGAAGUUGGCCACGCCCGAAGCCGUUACUCCAACCCUUGUGGAGGAGGACGUCGAAGGUGGGGCUGAUGACUGGGGUGAAGUCGUAACAAGGUAGCC